rnacentral:lncRNA from 1 species
GCCUGCGAGUGCAAGUUUUGCUUUUGUUCUAUUCUUCAGCUUCCUGUGGAGAUUUUCAGAUACAAGCAAACAAAACAUUGCAUAACUCUGUGUGCAGCCCUUACCCGGAUGUGUGCAGCUUUAGGGUGUGCUUGCAGGAGGAACAGGAUAUCCAAAUGACCUCCUUGGAAAACAAUGGUUAAGGAGCACUGGGACUCUGACAGGACCUGGGUUCUCUCCGACCCCUUUAUUCCCCAUGCCCACUGCCCCACAUGUGUGUACACAUGUGCUUCUGCUUGUGAGCACGCAGGAGUUCAUUGUAGAGGGCAUCUCCCUUACCUGUUGUCUCUCUUUGAUUUAAAAAAAAAAAAUCUAUUCUUACAAACCCCUAUAUAUACAUGUUGCCUGACUUAAAGUCAGGUCUGGGUUACUGCCAUCAGUCCCAAUGUUCACAGAAAUGGGAAACGAGAGGGGUGGACCAGUGGGGACAACCUGUAACUUGGACUUCUUAGAUCACUCCUGUCCCUCCCAAGACACCUAGGACUCAUCGGGUCUAAUUUAGUCUAGGAGGUGUGUUUCUAGAUGCAUCCCUGGAGUACAGUGAAUGCAAGCCAAGAAAUAAUUUUUUCUUCCCAAUUUCAUGGUCUCAUCCUGACCUACAGCAGAUAAGUAAGGAUGAUUCCAUUUCUGUAUUCUCUCGAGCCCAUCCCCCUCUCCCUGCCGUAGAGUCGGGAGUACCCUUUUUUUUUUUUCUUCUCAAGACAGGGUUUCUCUGUAUCACCCUGGCUGUCCUGGAACUCACUCUAAAGUACCCUCUUAAUUAACCAUGCUUAGAGAGGAAUAAAAGGACAAGACCAGAGUUUCAGCUACCUUGGAUUCUGCACCGACUCAGGAUCACAGUCAGUUUGUGUGAGGUCACCAGUUUAUACCAAACAGGUUUCAAGGGGCCACGGACAGAACUGUCUUGGUCAGAAUCAGCUGAGUCUUGCAGACAUGAUUCUACUCCAGACCGUUUUGUCUCUAGAAGAGAAACUUGCAAACAUUCUGCCUUCCUUUUCUUUUCUUUGGGAAAGUAAAUGCUGUGUUAGAAGUUUGGACCAGAAUUCUCGGACUUCACCAUCUAUGGAUGCUUCGCUUUUGAUGUGUUUGCCUGUUUAUAAUCUAUUUUAUUUAUUUUGG